rnacentral:snoRNA from 1 species
CACUAGGAUGAUAAAACACACAGACCUGAUCUGAACAGGACUUCGGUCCUAAUGCAGACAACCGAUAUUGCCUUUUUUGCUGAUG